rnacentral:rRNA from 1 species
GAUGAACGCUGGCGGCGUGCCUAAUACAUGCAAGUCGAGCGAACAGACGAGGAGCUUGCUCCUCUGACGUUAGCGGCGGACGGGUGAGUAACACGUGGAUAACCUACCUAUAAGACUGGGAUAACUUCGGGAAACCGGAGCUAAUACCGGAUAAUAUAUUGAACCGCAUGGUUCAAUAGUGAAAGACGGUUUUGCUGUCACUUAUAGAUGGAUCCGCGCCGCAUUAGCUAGUUGGUAAGGUAACGGCUUACCAAGGCAACGAUGCGUAGCCGACCUGAGAGGGUGAUCGGCCACACUGGAACGGGGACACGGUCCAUGCUCCUACGGGAGGCAGCAGUAGGGAAUCUUCCGCAAUGGGCGAAAGCCUGACGGAGCAACGCCGCGUGAGUGAUGAAGGUCUUCGGAUCGUAAAACUCUGUUAUUAGGGAAGAACAAAUGUGUAAGUAACUAUGCACGUCUUGACGGUACCUAAUCAGAAAGCCACGGCUAACUACGUG